AAGAAUUUAAAAGUCGAACAGACUUAAAAUUUGAACGGCUACACCCAAAAUUAUAUCUUAAUCCAACAUCGAGGUCGCAAUCUUUUUUAUCGAUAUGAACUCUCCAAAAAAAUUACGCUGUUAUCCCUAAAGUAACUUAAAUUUUUAAUCAUUAUUAAUGGAUCAAUUAUUCAUAAAUUAAUGGUUUUUAAAAUUAAAAGUUUUUUAAAUUUUAAUAUCACCCCAAUAAAAUAUUUUAAUUUAUUAUAACAAAAAUAAUCUUUAUAAUUAAAAUAAACAAAAUAUAAAGAUUUAUAGGGUCUUCUCGUCUUUUAAUUUUAUUUUAGCUUUUUGACUAAAAAAUAAAAUUCUAUAAAAAAUUUAAAUGAAACAGUUAAUAUUUCGUCCAACCAUUCAUUCCAGCCUUCAAUUAAAAGACUAAUGAUUAUGCUACCUUUGCACAGUUAGAAUACUGCGGCCAUUUAAAAUUUUCAGUGGG
rnacentral:rRNA from 1 species